CUCAAGCUAGCGAACAAUUGUAGCGAACAAUUAGCCAGCGAACAAUUAGGAGGUAUAACUAAAAACCACAAUUUCACAUAAGACAAUCAUGUUUUUUUCGAGCUAGCGAACACUUACAGAGACCUAGCGGAAUAUUCAAAAUAUUAAACAAAAACGAAUAAAAAAAUUUAAAACAAAAGGGAUACCAUAAAGAUUUUGACCAAUUUAUAGAGAUUGUGACAGGCAACAACUGUAAAGGUAACAUAGAGUAGACAUUAUCGUAUCUAAUAAGACAAACUCCAGAAUGGUUUAUGUUUAAAAAUCUGAAGUUAAGUUUAAAAAACUGAAAUUGUAAAAACGAAAAGGGAGGAGGGGGCAUACAUUAAGUUGAUUUUUGACCCAUUUAUAGUGAUUGUGACGGUACACGACUGCAUAGGUGAUGCAGCUGAGACAUUAGCAUAUCUAUUAAGACAAACUCCAGGAUGGUUUAUGUUAAAAAAUCUGAAGUUAGGUUGAAAAAAUUGUAAUUAAAAACGAAAAGGGGGGAUACCAUAAGUUGAUUGUUGACCCAUUUAUAGAGAUUGUGACGGGCAAUGACUGCCUAUAGAUGAUGUAGAGACAUUGGCGCAACGUUUAGGAAAAUCUCCAGAGUGGUUUAUGUUCGAAAAUCUGAAUUUACGGUUAAAAAACUGAAAUUGUGAAAUUGACAAAAUGAGAUUAAGUGGGUAGGCCAAUUUAAAUUAAUUUUGGACCAACUUCAAGAGAUUGUGACGGGCAACAACUAUAUAGGUGUUGUAGAGGAGACAUUGGCGCAUCGUUUAAGAAAAUCUCCAGAGUGGUUUAUGUUCGAAAAUCUGAAGUUACGGUUAAAAAAACUGAAAUUGUGAAAUUGACAAAAUGAGAUUGGGGGUUAGGCCAAUUUAAGUUAAUUUUGGACCAGCUUCAAGAGAUUGUGACGGGCAACAACUAUAUAGGUGUUAUAGAGGAGACGUUAGCGCAUCGUUUAGGACAAUCUCAAGAGUGGUUUAUGUUCGAAAAUCUGAAGUUACGGUUAAAAAACUGAAAAUUUUAGUGUGAAAUUGACAAAAUGAGAUUAGGGGGGUAGGGCACUAAAAGAAAAAAAAUUGACCAUUUUAAAGAGAUUGUGACGGGCAACGACUAUAAAGGUGUUGUAGAGGAGACAUUGGCGCAUCGUUUAAGAAAAUCUCCAGAGUGGUUUAUGUUCGAAAAUCUGAAGUUACGGUUAAAAACUGAAACUGUGAAAUUGACAAAAUUGGAUUAGGGGGGUAGGCCAAUUAAAUUUAAUUUUGUACCAAUUUCAAGAGAUUGUGACGGGCAACGACUAUAUAUGUGUUGUAGAGGAGACAUUGGCGCAUCGUUUAGGAAAAUCCCCAGAGUGGUUUAUGUUCGAAAAUCUGAAGUUACGGUUAAAAAUCUGAAAAUUUUAUUGUGAAAUUGACAAAAUUAGAUUAGGGGGUAGGGCACUAAAAGAAAAAUUUGGACCAUUUUAAAGAGAUUGUGACGGGCAACGACUAUAAAGGUGUUGUAGAGGAGACAUUGGCGCAUCGUUUAAGAAAAUCUCCAGAGUGGUUUAUGUUCGAAAAUCUGAAGUUACCGUUAAAAAACUGAAAUUGUGAAAUUGACAAAAUGAGAUUAGGGGGAUGCCAAUUUAAGUUAAUUUUGGACCAAUUUCAAUAGAUUGUGACGGGCAACGACUAUAUAGGUGUUGUAGAGGAGAUAUUGGCGCAUCGUUUAAGAAAAUCUCCAGAGUGGUUUAUGUUCGAAAAUCUGAAGUAACCGUUAAAAAACUGAAAUUGUGAAAUUGACAAAAUGAGAUUAGGGGGAGGCCAAUUUAAGUUAAUUUUGGACCAAUUUCAAGAGAUUGUGACGGGCAACGACUAUAUAGGUGUUGUAGAGGAGAUAUUGGCGCAUCGUUUAAGAAAAUCUCCAGAGUGGUUUAUGUUCGAAAAUCUGAAGUUACGGUUAAAAAACUGAAACUGUGAAAUUAACAAAAUGAGAUUAGGGGGGUAGGCCAAUUUAAGUUAAUUUUGUACCAAUUUCAAGAGAUUGUGACGGGCAACGACUAUAUAGGUGUUGUAGAGUAGACAUUGGCGCAUCGUUGAGGAAAAUCUCCAGAGUGGUUUAUGUUCGAAAAUCUGAAGUUACGGUUAAAAAUCUGAAAAUUUUAUUGUUCAAUUGACAAAAUGAGAUUAGGGGGGUAGGGCACUAAAAGAAAAAUUUGGACCAUUUUAAAGAGAUUGUGACGGGCAACGACUAUAUAGGUGUUGUAGAGGAGACAUUGGCGCAUCGUUAAAGAAAAUCUCCAGAGUGGUUUAUGUUCGAAAAUCUGAAGUUACGGUUAAAAAUCUGAAAAUUUUAUUGUGAAAUUGACAAAAUGAGAUUAGGGGGGUAGGGCACUAAAAGAAAAAAUUUUGACCAUUUUAAAGAGAUUGUGACGGGCAACGACUAUAAAGGUGUUGUAGAGGAGACAUUGGCGCAUCGUUUAAGAAAAUCUCCAGAGUGGUUUAUGUUCGAAAAUCUGAAGUUACGGUUAAAAAACUGAAACUGUGAAAUUGACAAAACUACAUUAGGGGGGUAUGCCAAUUUAAGUUAAUUUUGUACCAAUUUCAAGAGGUUGUGACGGGCAACGACUAUAUAUGUGUUGUAGAGGAGACAUUGGCGCAUCGUUUAAGAAAAUCUCCAGAGUGGUUUAUGUUCGAAAAUCUGAAGUUACGGUUAAAAAUCUGAAAAUUUUAUUGUGAAAUUGACAAAAUGAGAUUAGGGGGGUGGGGCACUAAAAGAAUAAUUUGGACCAUACCAAAGAGAUUGUGACGGGCAACGACUAUAAAGGUGUUGUAGAGGAGACAUUGGCGCAUCGUUUAAGAAAAUCUCCAGUGUGGUUUAUGUUCGAAAAUCUGAAGUUACGGUUAAAAAACUGAAAUUGUGAAAUUGACAAAAUGAGAUUAGGGGGAGGCCAAUUUAAGUUAAUUUUGGACCAAUUUCAAGAGAUUGUGACGGGCAACGACUAUAUAGGUGUUGUAGAGGAGACAUUGGCGCAUCGUUUAGGAAAAUCUCCAGAGUGGUUUAUGUUCGAAAAUCUGAAGUUACGGUUAAAAAACUGAAAAUUUUAUUGUGAAAUUGACAAAAUGAGAUUAGGGGGGUAGGGCACUAAAAGAAAAAAAAAUGACAAUUUUAAAGAGAUUGUGACGGGCAACGACUAUAAAGGUGUUGUAGAGGAGACAUUGGCGCAUCGUUUAAGAAAAUCUCCAGAGUGGUUUAUAUUCGAAAAUCUGAAGUUACGGUUAAAAAACUGAAACUGUGAAAUUGACAAAAUUAGAUUAGGGGGGUAGGCCAAUUUAAGUUAAUUUUGUACCAAUUUCAAGAGAUUGAGACGGGCAACGACUAUACAGGUGUUGUAGGGGAGACAAUGGCGCAUCGUUUAGGAAAAUCUCCAGAGUGGUUUAUGUUCGAAAAUCUGAAGUUACGGUUAAAAAUCUGAAAAUUUUAUUGUGAAAUUGACAAAAUGAGAUUAAGGGGGUAGGGCACUAAAAGAAAAAUUUAGACCAUUUUAAAGAGAUUGUGACGGGCAACGACUAUAUAGGUGUUGUAGAGGAGACAUUGGCGCAUCGUUUAUGAAAAUCUCCAGAGUGGUUUAUGUUCGAAAAUCUGAAGUUACCGUUAAAAAACUGAAAUUGUGAAAUUGACAAAAUGAGAUUAGGGGGGUAGGCCAAUUUAAGUUAAUUUUGGACCAGCUUCAAGAGAUUGUGACGGGCAACAACUAUAUAGGUGUUGUAGAGGAGACAUUGGCGCAUCGUUUAAGAAAAUCCCCAGAGUGGUUUAUGUUCGAAAAUCUGAAGUUACGGUUAAAAACUGAAAAUUUUAUUGUGAAAUUGACAAAAUGAGAUUAGGGGGGUAGGGCACUAAAAGAAAAAUUUGGACCAUUUUAAAGAGAUUGUGACGGGUAACGACUAUAUAGGUGUUGUAGAGGAGACAUUGGCGCAUCGUUUAGGAAAAACUCCAGAGUGGUUUAUGUUCGAAAAUCUGAAGUUACGGUUAAAAAAACUGAAAUUGUGAAAUUGACAAAAUGAGAUUAUGGGGGUAGGGCACUAAAAGAAAAAUUUUGACCAUUUUAAAGAGAUUGUGACGGGCAACGACUAUAAAGGUGUUGUAGAGGAGACAUUGGCGCAUCGUUUAAGAAAAUCUCCAGAGUGGUUUAUGUUCGAAAAUCUGAAGUUACGGUUAAAAAACUGAAACUGUGAAAUUGACAAAAUUAGAUUAGGGGGUAGGCCAAUUUAAGUUAAUUUUGGACCAAUUUCAAGAGAUUGUGACGGGCAACGACUAUAUAGGUAUUGUAGAAGAGACAUUGGUGCAUCGUUUAAGAAAAUCUCCAGAGUGGUUUAUGUUCGAAAAUCUGAAGUUACGGUUAAAAAUCUGAAAAUUUUAUUGUGAAAUUGACAAAAUGAGAUUAGGGGGGUAGGGCACUAAAAGAAAAAUUUGGACCAUUUUAAAGAGAUUGUGACGGGCAACAACUAUAUAGGUGUUGUAGAGGAGACAUUGGCGCAUCGUUUUAGAAAAUCUCCAGAGUGGUUUAUGUUCGAAAAUCUGAAGUUACGGUUAAAAAAACUGAAAUUGUGAAAUUGACAAAAUGAGAUUAGGGGGGUAGGGCACUAAAAGAAAAAAUUUGACCAUUUUAAAGAGAUUGUGACGGGCAACGACUAUAAAGGUGUUGUAGAGGAGACAUUGGCGCAUCGUUUAAGAAAAUCUCUAGAGUGGUUUGUGUUCGAAAAUCUGAAGUUACAGUUAAAAAACUAAAAUUGUGAAAUUGACAAAAUGAGAUUAGGGGGAGGCCAAUUUAAGUUAAUUUUGGACAAAUUUCAAGAGAUUGUGACGGGCAACGACUAUAUAGGUGUUGUAGAGGAGACAUUGGCGCAUUGUUUAGGAAAAUCUCCAGAGUGGUUUAUGUUCGAAAAUCUGAAGUUACGGUUAAAAAACUGAAAUUUUUAUUGUGAAAUUGACAAAAUGAGAUUAGGGGGGUAGGGCACUAAAAGAAAAAUUUGGACCAUUUUAAAGAGAUUGUGACGGGCAACGACUAUAUAGGUGUUGUAAAGGAGUCAUUGGCGCAUCGUUUAAGAAAAUCUCCAGAGUGGUUUAUGUUCGAAAAUCUGAAGUUAAUAUUGUUAAAAAACUGAAAUUGUGAAUUUGACAAAAUGAGAUUAGGGUGGUAGGCCAAUUUAAGUUAAUUUUGGACCAAUUUCAAGAGAUUGUGACGGGCAACGACUAUAUAGGUGUUGUAGAGGAGACAAUGGCGCAUCGUUUAAGAAAAUCUCCAGAGUGGUUUAUGUUCGAAAAUCUGAAGUUACGGUUAAAAAACUGAAAAUGUGAAAUUGACAAAAUGAGAUUAGGGGGUAGGCCAAUUUAAGUUAAUUUUGGACCAAUUUCAAGAGAUUGUGACGGGCAACGAUUAUAUAGGUGUUGUAGAGGAGACAUUGGCGCAUCGUUUAGGAAAAUCUCCAGAGUGGUUAAUGUUCGAAAAUCUGAAGUUACGGUUAAAAAACUGAAAUAGUGAAAUUGA